AAGUCGUAACAAGGUCUCCGUUGGUGAACCAGCGGAGGGAUCAUUACCGAGUCUCGAACUCCCAAAACCCCCUGUGAACCGUACCGACGUUGCCUCGGCGGGCCGCCCGCGCCCGCCGGAGGACCCCAAGGCUCCCGCUUCCGCCGCGUCUGCCCUCUGAGUGACGAAGAAAUGAGUCAAAACUUUCAACAACGGAUCUCUUGGUUCUG
rnacentral:misc_RNA from 1 species